rnacentral:lncRNA from 1 species
AGCUGGCUGAAAUAAUUUUGGAUGGAGAAAUGCAGACUACGAGUAAAAAUAAUGAGAGUUGACACUUGUAUGUCAGGCCUUGCACCUAAAUGUCUUUCGACUAUUCCACUCUUUCAAAGAGUCAAUUAUUUAAUUUUUAAUCAACACAAGAUGUUUGUAUGUAUUUCUUGGGUACCAUCUGAUGUUUUGGUACAUAUAUAGUUAUAUCAUGUUCUAACCAUUAUUAACAUAGCUAUCUUUACAAACCUUUCCCACAUUUUGGGAUGGGUAUUAAAAUCCUUCCUUAUAGUUUUUAAAUUUUUUUCUGAAAUGUACAGAAUAUGGUUCUUAUUUGUACUCAUUCUACUGUGUGUUAGGACACCAGAACUAAUUCCUCCUAUAACUUGAUAACUGUGGACCAACCUGUCCCCUGCCCCCUAACUCUCAUCAACUUCUAGAAAACACUAUUAUACUUGAAACUCUUCUUUUAAUCCUUCCUUUAAUCCUAAGAAAUGGAUGCUUCUAUUUUAUCUCCAUUGUGAUAGGGACUUUGAGUCCAGAAAAAUAAAAAUAUACUCCAAGAAGACAUUCUUAGAAUGUAAGUGGCAGAGUUGAAAACCAAACUCUACUCUGAAUUCAGGAACUAGGGUCCUAUGCCGAGUAGAGGUAAUAUCAAUAAAGAAAUGUCUUUAUUCAUCCAGAUGAUCCUUCCCUCUACAUCAAAUCUGAUAUCCCACCUAAGACUAACAAUGUCUUCAUUGUUGUCUCAGAUAGAAUUCAGGGGGAGAAUCUAUUGGCCAAAGGAAAAUUCCACUAUUAAGAAUGUAUCUGCAGCCUGAUCCCUAAUAACAGCCAUCACUCAAUGCAUUUCAACUGCAUAGAUGUUUUAACACCAGUUGUGACUACUCUUACUCAAGGCAGCCUAUGCUUGACUGAGUCUUGGUAGAGAAAGAACCCCUGAAAAUCAGGCCCUUCCCAGGCUCUAGACCAGUCCGUUGCAAUCCUCUAUGCUUGCCACCAGCCUUUGGAGAAAGCUGAAGAUACUCUUUUGUGCCGAGUACUGGCUCUGCAUUUUUUUGAGAGAUGGAUUGAAUGCAACUGAUUUUUUUUUUUUGGUCAACAUUCAUUUUCCUCAGUAGUUUGUUAUCUCCUGCUUCGAAGCUGGGGAGAAGUAUCACACAGAUAUAGGAGGAACACGAAGAGUUUAUGAUAGCUUCCUAUGUAGACCUCCAGCUAAUGUAUUAAAAACAAAUGCUUUUAAUUUUCUACUGGAAAGCAUAGUCAUUAUGUGGUUGCUUCGGAGGGCUUCAUCUUCUCUGCUCCCUCUGCGCACCCCGGAGCUGGCAGCUACUCUAUUCUAAGUACUAUAGGGUUGACUGUCUCAAAGAAAUCCCACAACUAAAUGGAGGUCAGAUCAAAUACUCCAGGUGCACCUUGUUCUUUGGCUACUGUCAUUCCCACAGUUCAUCUUCUGUAGGUGUGAAGGUUCCAGAACUGUGUGGGACUCCCUGACCAUCAGAGAACACACUUAUUUGUCUUUUAUGUAAUUUGGAUUUGUCUAUUAUUCAACCCUUUCUGGAAGCAAUAUAGUAAAACAGUUAAUAGUGUGAGCUUUGGUAUCAUAAUUAUAAUAGGCACAGUCUAGCCUGCCCCUUCUCUUGGGGAAAUUAUUCAACCCUUGGAAUCUUCUAUUGUUUACAUCUGUACAAGGAGGUCUGACUGGAAGCUAAUUCUUGGGAUCAUUUUAGGAGUUACACAAAAAUGUACAAUUAAAGUUUAACAUCAUUCUUGAAACUCAAGAAACAUUCUUUAGUAAUUUAGACAAUGGUUAUUGGGUAUAUACUACAAUGUAUGCAUUGUUUGGGGGCACUGUAGUCAGUAGAGCAUCACUAUGAAAUAUAAUCAGAAAUCCUACCAGUAUCAGGCUUGUAUUCUUGUGCGCAUGUACACAAUGGGUUUCACAGACACACAACUGAAAAACUUCAGUCAGGACUUCAAGUGAAAGUGAUGCUCCUGUUCAAAUUAGUUAUAAAAUGUCUGGUUACAUAGCUUUAAGCAUUGAUUAUAAGCAUUUUAUACUUGCUUAUAAUAAUCUUGAGAUCUUAAAGAUACAUCUCAGACAGUUUCAUUUUUAGGAUCCAUAUAGUCCAGCAGUAACUUUAAUUAAGCCAGCAUUUCUUAAAUAUAUAGGACCACAGAUUGCCACAUUUUAAUUUCCUGAAGACUUCUAUAGGUCUGUGUACUGAGAAAUGUAUGAAAGCCAAUGUCAAACCAGAAAGGAUGCAGAUCACUAGAAAAGCAAGUUCAUAGAGUUUUUGUAGUUUUCCUCUUUAGGCAGCUAGUUCUCAAUAACUGAGACUAGACCACUGUAUUUAUUUAACAAGCUUUAAGGGCACAACAACUGAGCAGUAUUACUCUAUUUUAAUUCUCUAAGCUAAUCUGGCUACCUCCUAGUCAAAAAUCUCAGUGAUAUUUGCAUUUUAGUACUGAUCUAUCUCUAUGGGCUCCAGGUGUUUUCUCCUGCUAUCUCCUGGACUCUUCUCAUUGUGAAUCUCCACCCACCCCCAUACCCACCACCCCCUAGCCUCUCCUGGCUUGGAGGAAGUCCAGCCCUAUUCUCUUCCCUGCUCAGACAUUGGUUGAUCAGCUUCUUUAUUUACCAAUCUGGAAAUAAUUGAGGAGCAAUGUUUUGCAACCAGAUAUGGGGACACAGAAAUCAGCAUUUGAAAAAUACAAGGCUAAUCUUUACACAGUGUACAAUAACAUCAUGCCUACAGUAAGGAAUGCCAGGCGGUCUAUGCCUGACCUCAAGGAAGGAGAGCUAUAGAAGCGGCUUCUCCUACCCUUCUGGAUGGGAGGCUUUCUGUUCUGGCAGGUGCCAGUCCCAGUCAAUCCUCCCACAUAGCUACUUUGGACUUGCCCCAACUUGCUCUCCUUUGCCAUAAAAUCAAGACUUGCAGCAGAAACAAGAGUCACAGCCUCCUCUACCUGUCAUUCACUGAUCCUUUAUGUAACAAUACAGAGAAAGGCUCUUCUUGAAUGGCUGAUUGGCUUUUCCAGGUAAUACCUAGAUAGCCAUCCUCCUCCAUCAUUUCCACCUGACAAAUGGGCAUCUUUCUUGAGGAGAUAUGCAGUACACAAUUUGAACACUAGUAAUACUCAAUUUCCAUCCUCCUGUGGAGAAUUCCAUAAAUCUCUGAUUAGUGUUUGCCCUCUUUGGAAUAAACUUCUAAUUGAUAUCUAAAGAUUGCUGCUUGCAAAUUAAAUUACACUUCUCUUCUCCAUUAUGUAAAGAAACAUCACCCAGACACUUCUCCUGAGCACACAUUCCUCCUCUGACUCUCAGGCGGUGAUUCCAUUACUGCUGUCGCAAUGCUUCCAUUCAACUCAAGCUACAAGAUUUGUUUCUCUUGCUUGUUUAAUUGCCCAUGUCUGAUUACAGAGACAAUUUAUUGUUUUAGUGCAGCAUAAAGUUCAAAUAUUUCAUGCAAGAUGAAUAUGGCCACUGACAUUUUUAUUCUCAUUCCAAAUUCAUACC